GAUUUCUGGUUUGAUGUACCUGUCCCGCCUCGGUAACGGGGUCGAGUGACGGAGUAUGUCUGCCAUCCUUCUAGAGAAUAUAAACUAUCCUUUACUGGACCGGUUUAUAUCAUCUAGAUCUUUUACUUUGAAAAAAUUAGAGUGUUUAAAGCAGGCUUGCGCUAUGAAUACAUUAGCAUGGAAUAAUAAUUUAGGACUUUGUUUCUAUUUUGUUGGUUUCUAGAGGCGAAGUAAUGAUUGAUAGGGAUAGUUGGGGGUGCUAGUAUUCAGCGGCCAGAGGUGAAAUUCUUGGAUUCGCUGAAGACUAACUUAUGCGAAAGCAUU
rnacentral:rRNA from 1 species